UUCCAGAUGACGAGUCCAAAAUAGGACGAAAAGCGCAUCCUAGAU
rnacentral:hammerhead_ribozyme from 1 species